CAUUUUUAUUGUGGUCUUCAUAAAUCCUCUCCCUUUUUUCUUUUCUUACAUAUAAUAUUAUAUUUUCCAGGUGGAGUUGUUGAUGAAGAAAGCAGACAGGAAGUGGCUGCAGACGAAGACAGCAACUGCAGCACUAACCAGAACUUUGACGCCAAAAUGAGCCGAGCCUCGUCGCUCUACGAGGGACCCAGCAGCGAGUUCCAGAGAGGAACGUUCAGGAUUAGCGCCUCCGGAUCGAACACGACCCGCAGAGCAGCAUUCAGACCCACUAAGAGUGCUCUGUCCAAUCAGUCUGAUGAAGACAACGACUCUGAUGAUGAAGUGCAAAAUGUUGAAAAGGUCCUUGGAAGCAGAGACUCCAGGAGUUACUGGCCAUCCAUCCAUCCAUCCAUCUAUCGUCCAUCGCAUCUACCGAUCUACCGGGAUCGGGUCACGGGGGCAGCAGCUCCAGUAAGGAACCCCAAUCUUCCCUUCUUCGGGCCACAUCCUCCAGCUCCGACUGGGGGAUCCUGAGGCGUUCCCAGGCCAGUGAGGAGAUAUAAUCUCUCCACAGAG
rnacentral:lncRNA from 1 species